UGGUCCUGGCCUUAUAAUCAAUUGUUACUCAACUUACACAUGCAAGUCUCCGCACCCCUGUGAGAACGCCCUUAGACCCCUUUAGGGGUCAGGAGCCGGUAUCAGGCUCGACCCUCAGCCCAUGACACCUAGCUAUGCCACACCCACAAGGGUACACAGCAGUGAUUAAUCUUGAAUAUUAGCGCAAGCUUGAUUCAGUCAGAGUAAGGAGAGCCGGCAAAUCUGGUGCCAGCCGCCGCGGCCACACCACGGGCUCAAAUUGAUUAUACUCGGCGUAAAGCGUGAUUAAAGCUACCUUAAACUGCAGUUAAACUGGAGCUAGAUCGUGAAAAUUCAGAAUCCAGGAAGCACAAAAACGAAAGUCACUGCAAAACAACCCACUUGACUUCACAACAGUUAGGAAACAAACUGGGAUUAGAUACCCCACUAUGCCUAACCGUAAACUUUAACUUACACCCAAAUCGCCGGGGAACUACGAGCAAUGCUUAAAACCCAAAGGACUUGACGGUGCCCCACACCACCUAGAGGAGCCUGUCCUAUAAUCGAUGAUCCCCGUUUAACCUCACCACUCUUUGUCUUUUCAGUCUGUAUACCUCCGUCGUCAGCUUACCACGUGAGCGAUUUCAGUAGGCAAAAAGGUCUCUACACCAAAACGUCAGGUCAAGGUGCAGCUUACAGAGUGGGAAGAGAUGGGCUACACUCUCUAAUAUAGAACACACGAAAGACUAAAUGAAAUUUUUAGUCGGAAGGCGGAUUUAGCAGUAAGACGAGACGAGAGAGCUCGUUUAAACACGGCCCUGGGGCGUGUACACACCGCCCGUCACCCUCUUCAAGACUCUCAAUUAUACUAGUACUUAACACCCUAUCUGUUAAAAAGAAGAGGCAAGUCGUAACAUGGUAAGCUUACCGGAAGGUGUGCUUGGAAA
rnacentral:ncRNA from 1 species